rnacentral:piRNA from 1 species
CGAGCAGGUGGCUUGUGGAACAGGUUGAGU